GAUGAACGCUGGCGGCGUGCCUAAUACAUGCAAGUCGAGCGAACGGACGAGAAGCUUGCUUCUCUGAUGUUAGCGGCGGACGGGUGAGUAACACGUGGAUAACCUACCUAUAAGACUGGGAUAACUUCGGGAAACCGUAGCUAACACCGGAUAAUAUCUUGAAGCGCAUGGUUCAAUAGUGAAAGACGGUCUUGCUGUCACUUAUAGAUGGAUCUGCGCUGCAUUAGCUAGUUGGUAAGGUAACGGCUUACCAAGGCAACGAUGCAUAGCCGACCUGAGAGAGUGGUCGGCCACAUUGGAACUGAGACACGGUCCAGGCUCCUGCGAGAGGCAGCAGUAGGGAAUCGUCCGCAGUGGGCGAAAGCCUGACGGAGCAGCGCCACGUGAGUGAUGAAGGUCUUCGGAUCGUAAAGCUCUGUUAUUAGGGAAGAACAUAUGUGGAAGUAGCUGUACACUGCUUGACGGUACCUAAUCAGAAAGCCACGGCUAACUACGUG
rnacentral:rRNA from 1 species